rnacentral:lncRNA from 1 species
CUUGUGUCAAAAUUUCAUAGAUUUCUAUUAACUUAAACUAAAGUUAUAGUACGAAAACCAAGAAAAUGCUUAUUUGGGCCCUUUUUGGCCCCUAAUUCCUAAAAUGUUGGGACCAAAACUCCCAAAAUCAAUACCAACCUUCCUUUUGUGGUCAUAAACCUUGUGUUAAAAUUUUCAUAGAUUUCCAUUCACUUUAACUAAAGUUAGAGUGCGAAAACUAAAAGUAUUCGGACGCCGGACGACGACGACGACGACGACGACGACGACGACGACGACGCCAACGUGAUAGCAAUAUACGACGAAAAUAAUUUCAAAAUUUGCGGUCGUAUAAAAACUUAACACUGUGCAAUGAACCGUGCAAUUGAGGUUAUGGUCAAAUAAAACCUGCGGGACUGACAUAUAGAUCAUAAUAUAUUUCCAUACACCAAAUAUAGUUGACCUUUGGCAUAUAAUAUUAGAUAAAAAGACCAAAAACUUAAAAACUUAACUUUGACCACUGAACCAUGAAAAUGAGGUCAAGGUCAGAUGACAUCUGUCCGCUAGACAUGUACACCUUACAACCAUUCCAUACAACCAAUAUAGUAGACUUAUUGCAUAAAGUAUGAGAAAAACAGACCAAAACACAAAAACUUAACUAUAACCACUGAACCAUGAAAAUGAGGUCAAGGUCAGAUGACACCUGCCAGUUGGACAUGUACACCUUCCAGUCCUUCCAUACACCAAAUAUACUAGCCCUAUUACUUAUAGUAUCUGAGAUAUGGACUUGACCACCAAAACUUAACCUUGUUC